UAGGGAAUCUUCGGCAAUGGGGGGAACCCUGACCGAGCAACGCCGCGUGAGUGAAGAAGGUUUUCGGAUCGUAAAGCUCUGUUGUUAAGGAAGAACGAGUGUGAGAAUGGAAAGUUCAUACUGUGACGGUACUUAACCAGAAAGGGACGGCUAACUACGUGCCAGCAGCCGCGGUAAUACGUAGGUCCCGAGCGUUGUCCGGAUUUAUUGGGCGUAAAGCGAGCGCAGGCGGUUAGAUAAGUCUGAAGUUAAAGGCAGUGGCUCAACCAUUGUAGGCUUUGGAAACUGUUUAACUUGAGUGCAGAAGGGGAGAGUGGAAGUCCAUGUGUAGCGGUGAAAUGCGUAGAUAUAUGGAGGAACACCGGUGGCGAAAGCGGCUCUCUGGUCUGUAACUGACGCUGAGGCUCGAAAGCGUGGGGAGCGAACAGG
rnacentral:rRNA from 1 species